GAUGAACGCUAGCGGGAGGCCUAACACAUGCAAGCCGAGCGGUAUUGUUUCUUCGGAAAUGAGAGAGCGGCGUACGGGUGCGGAACACGUGUGCAACCUGCCUUUAUCUGGGGGAUAGCCUUUCGAAAGGAAGAUUAAUACUCCAUAGUGUUAUCGAAUCGCAUGGUUUGAUAACUAAAGUUCCAACGGUAUAAGAUGAGCAUGCGUCCCAUUAGUUAGUUGGUAAGGUAACGGCUUACCAAGACAAUGAUGGGUAGGGGUCCUGAGAGGGAGAUCCCCCACACUGGUACUGAGACACGGACCAGACUCCUACGGGAGGCAGCAGUGAGGAAUAUUGGUCAAUGGGGCGCAAGCCUGAACCAGCCAUGCCGCGUGCAGGAAGAAGCAUCUAUGGUGUGUAAACUGCUUUUUANACAGGAAGAAACAACUCUACGUGUAGAGUCUUGACGGUACUGUAAGAAUAAGGACCGGCUAACUCCGUGCCAGCAGCCGCGGU
rnacentral:rRNA from 1 species